ensembl:snRNA U6 U6 spliceosomal RNA
GUGCUCACUUCAGCAAUGUACAUAUAUUAAAAUUGGAACAAUACAGAGAAGAUUAGCAUGGCCCUGUGCAUGGAUGACACACAAAUUUGUGAAGCACUCCAUAUUUUU